rnacentral:rRNA from 1 species
UGCAGUCGAGCGCACUCUUCGGAGUGAGCGGCGGACGGGUUAGUAACGCGUGGGAACGUACCCUUAUCUACGGAAUAGCCUCUGGAAACUGAGGGUAAUACCGUAUACGCCCUUCGGGGGAAAGAUUUAUCGGAUUUGGAUCGGCCCGCGUUAGAUUAGAUAGUUGGUGAGGUAACGGCUCACCAAGGCUACGAUCUAUAGCUGGUUUUAGAGGAUGAUCAGCCACACUGGGACUGAGACACGGCCCAGACUCCUACGGGAGGCAGCAGUGGGGAAUCUUGGACAAUGGGCGCAAGCCUGAUCCAGCCAUGCCGCGUGAGUGAUGAAGGCCUUAGGGUCGUAAAGCUCUUUCGCCAGAGAUGAUAAUGACAGUAUCUGGUAAAGAAACCCCGGCUAACUCCGUGCCAGCAGCCGCGGUAAUACGGAGGGGGUUAGCGUUGUUCGGAAUUACUGGGCGUAAAGCGCGCGUAGGCGGACCAGAAAGUUAGGGGUGAAAUCCCGGGGCUCAACCCCGGAACUGCCUCUAAAACUCCUGAUCUUGAGUUCGAGAGAGGUGAGUGGAAUUCCGAGUGUAGAGGUGAAAUUCGUAGAUAUUCGGAGGAACACCAGUGGCGAAGGCGGCUCA